UACGUAGGGGGCGAGCGUUAUCCGGAUUCAUUGGGCGUAAAGCGCGCGUAGGCGGCCCGCUAAGCGGGACCUCUAACCUGGGGGCUCAACCUCCAGCCGGGUCCCGAACUGGCGAGCUCGAGUGCGGUAGGGGCAGGCGGAAUUCCCGGUGUAGCGGUGGAAUGCGCAGAUAUCGGGAAGAACACCGAUGGCGAAGGCAGCCUGCUGGGCCGACACUGACGCUGAGGCGCGAAAGCUAGGGGAGCGAACAG
rnacentral:rRNA from 1 species